UACGAGGGGUCCUAGCGUUGUUCGGAAUCAUUGGGCGUAAAGAGUCUGUAGGCGGUCUUGUAAGUCAGGUGUGAAAGCCCCGGGCUCAACCCGGGAAGUGCAUUUGAUACUGCUUGACUUGAGUGUUGGAGAGGGCAGUGGAAUUCCAGGUGUAGUGGUGAAAUACGUAGAUAUCUGGAGGAACACCGGUGGCGAAGGCGGCUGCCUGGCCAAACACUGACGCUGAGAGACGAAAGCGUGGGUAGCAAACAGG
rnacentral:rRNA from 1 species